UGUAAACUUCUUUUGUAUAGGGAUAAACCUAGAUACGUGUAUCUAGCUGAAGGUACUAUACGAAUAAGCACCGGCUAACUCCGUGCCAGCAGCCGCGGUAAUACGGAGGGUGCAAGCGUUAUCCGGAUUUAUUGGGUUUAAAGGGUCCGUAGGCUGAUGUGUAAGUCAGUGGUGAAAUCUCACAGCUUAACUGUGAAACUGCCAUUGAUACUGCAUGUCUUGAGUGUUGUUGAAGUAGCUGGAAUAAGUAGUGUAGCGGUGAAAUGCAUAGAUAUUACUUAGAACACCAAUUGCGAAGGCAGGUUACUAAGCAACAACUGACGCUGAUGGACGAAAGCGUGGGGAGCGAACAGGAUUAGAUACCCUGGUAGUCCACGCCGUAAACGAUGCUAACUCGUUUUUGGGUUUUCGGAUUCAGAGACUAAGCGAAAGUGAUAAGUUAGCCACCUGGGGAGUACGAACGCAAGUUUGAAACUCAAAGGAAUUGACGGGGGCCCGCACAAGCGGUGGAUUAUGUGGUUUAAUUCGAUGAUACGCGAGGAACCUUACCAAGGCUUAAAUGGGAAAUGACAGGUUUAGAAAUAGACUUUUCUUCGGACAUUUUUCAAGGUGCUGCAUGGUUGUCGUCAGCUCGUGCCGUGAGGUGUUAGGUUAAGUCCUGCAACGAGCGCAACCCCUGUCACUAGUUGCCAUCAUUAAGUUGGGGACUCUAGUGAGACUGCCUACGCAAGUAGAGAGGAAGGUGGGGAUGACGUCAAAUCAUCACGGCCCUUACGCCUUGGGCCACACACGUAAUACAAUGGCCGGUACAGAGGGCAGCUACACAGUGAUGUGAUGCAAAUCUCGAAAGCCGGUCUCAGUUCGGAUUGGAGUCUGCAACUCGACUCUA
rnacentral:rRNA from 1 species